rnacentral:ncRNA from 1 species
CAAAGGUUUGGUCCUGUCUUUUCUGUCAGCUCUAGCUAAACUUACACAUGCAAGUAUCCGCACCCCCGUGAGAAUGCCCUACAGUUCCCUGUUUGGGAACAAGGAGCUGGUAUCAGGCUCAGUUUUCUAGCCCACGACACCUUGCUCAGCCACACCCCCAAGGGAUUUCAGCAGUGAUAAACAUUAAGCUAUAAGUGAAAACUUGACUUAGUUAAAGCUAAGAAGGCCGGUAAAACUCGUGCCAGCCACCGCGGUUAUACGAGAGGCCUAAGUUGAUAGACACCGGCGUAAAGAGUGGUUAAGGAACCCAAAAAACUAAAGCCGAACAUCCUCAAGACUGUCAUACGUUUCCGAAGAUAAGAAGCCCCCCUACGAAAGUGACUUUAAUUUUCCUGACCCCACGAAAGCUGUGGUACAAACUGGGAUUAGAUACCCCACUAUGCACAGCCAUAACUUAGAUAAAACCCUACAUCUCUUAUCCGCCAGGGUACUACGAGCACCAGCUUAAAACCCAAAGGACUUGGCGGUGCUUCAAACCCACCUAGAGGAGCCUGUUCUAGAACCGAUAAUCCCCGUUAAACCUCACCCUCUCUUGUUUUUCCCGCCUAUAUACCGCCGUCGUCAGCUUACCCUGUGAAGGCCUCAUAGUAAGCAUAGUCAGUACAACUCAAAACGCCAGGUCGAGGUGUAGCACAUGAGAGGGGAAGAAAUUGGCUACAUUCCCUAAAUCUGGGCAUACGGACAGCAUAAUGAAAAUAUAUGCUAGAAGGAGGAUUUAGCAGUAAGCAGGAAAUAGAGUGUCCUGCUGAAACUGGCCCUGAAGCGCGUACACACCGCCCGUCACUCUCCCCAAAUAAACCUCAUUAAAUAAAUAAAAAGUCUAACUAAACAAGGGGAGGUAAGUCGUAACAUGGUAAGUGUACCGGAAGGUGCACUUGGUUAAU